rnacentral:rRNA from 1 species
CCCUUAGAUGUCCUGGGCUGCACGCGCGCUACACUGGAAGUUACGGAUUGAGAUACUACCUUGUCCGAAAUGGUCCGGGUAAUCACCUAAAAGCUUGUCAUAAUUGGAAUGGAUUAUUGUAACUAGUAAUCCUGAACGAGGAAUUCCUAGUAAGUCCCAGUCAACAGCUGGUACUGAUUACGUCCCUGCCCUUUGUACACACCCCCCGUCGCUACUACUGAUUGGACGUUUAAGCAAGAUUUUUAAACACUGACAGUGUGUAGUUCACGCUAUACUACAGUGAGAAGAAGAAGAUCGAGCUUACUUGUCUAGAGGAAGUAAAAGUCGUAACA